AAAUAACGAUACGGGACUCAUCCGAGGCCCCGUAAUCGGAAYGAGUACACUUUAAAUCCUUNAACGAGGAUCCAUUGGAGGGCAAGUCUGGUGCCAGCAGCCGCGGUAAUUCCAGCUCCAAUAGCGUAUAUUAAAGUUGUUGCGGUUAAAAAGCUCGUAGUUGAAUCUGUGUGCCACGCUGUCGGUUCAUCGCUCGCGAUGUUUAACUGACAUGAUUGUGGGACGUCCUACCGGUGGACUUAGCCUCUAUCUCUUCGGAUUUAGGGGCGGUCCAGCUAAUAUCCCAUCGCGGUGCUUUUCAUCGAGUGUCGAGGUGGGCCGGUACGUUUACUUUGAACAAAUUAGAGUGCUCAAAGCAGGCCAUUCUCGCCUGAAUACUGUGUGCAUGGAAUAAUGGAAUAGGACCUCGGUUCUAUUUUGUUGGUUUUCGGAACCCCGAGGUAAUGAUUAAUAGGGACAGAUGGGGGCAUUCGUAUUGCGACGUUAGAGGUGAAAUUCUUGGAUCGUCGCAAGACGGACAGAAGCGAAAGCAUUUGCCAAAAAUGUUUUCAUUAAUCAAGAACGAAAGUUAGAGGUUCGAAGGCGAUCAGAUACCGCCCUAGUUCUAACCAUAAACGAUGCCAGCUAGCGAUCCGCCGAAGUUCCUUUGAUGACUCGGCGGGCAGCUUCCGGGAAACCAAAGCUUUUGGGUUCCGGGGGAAGUAUGGUUGCAAAGCUGAAACUUAAAGGAAUUGA
rnacentral:rRNA from 1 species